AUUGAACGCUGGCGGCAUGCUUUACACAUGCAAGUCGAACGGUAACAGGCCGCAAGGUGCUGACGAGUGGCGAACGGGUGAGUAAUGCAUCGGAACGUGCCCAGUCGUGGGGGAUAACGCAGCGAAAGCUGCGCUAAUACCGCAUACGAUCUAUGGAUGAAAGCGGGGGACCGAAAGGCCUCGCGCGAUUGGAGCGGCCGAUGUCAGAUUAGGUAGUUGGUGGGGUAAAGGCUCACCAAGCCAACGAUCUGUAGCUGGUCUGAGAGGACGACCAGCCACACUGGGACUGAGACACGGCCCAGACUCCUACGGGAGGCAGCAGUGGGGAAUUUUGGACAAUGGGCGCAAGCCUGAUCCAGCAAUGCCGCGUGCAGGAAGAAGGCCUUCGGGUUGUAAACUGCUUUUGUACGGAACGAAAAGGCUCUGGUUAAUACCUGGGGCUCAUGACGGUACCGUAAGAAUAAGCACCGGCUAACUACGUGCCAGCCGCCGCAGUAAGAC
rnacentral:rRNA from 1 species